GGGCAGUCAUCGCCGAGUCCCCGUACGGCGCGAGCCAGGGGAGCCGGGGACCCACCAUGUGCAGUCCCUGGGGUGAAUCGGACGCCCGCGCGUACAGCGAGGGGGUCCGUAGGAGACCUUCCUGCUCCGAACCCGUCAGCUAACCCGGUAGGCGAGAAGGAAGGAAAG
rnacentral:sRNA from 2 species